rnacentral:lncRNA from 10 species
CAGCCCUGUAGGAGACACCUCCAGAGAAAGUAACAGCUCUCAAUUGAUUAGCUGAGGAGACCGAUUUUGUAAAUCACUACUUUUCUAACAACACUGGCACAGAUGGCCAAGCAUUCUCCCUUUUCUCAGAGCUGGUUUUCCAUCCCGGAAAGAGGUCUUACAUAUACAAAGUUACUCUAAUCAGUUGUAAGCCUCAGGGGCUGGAUCCUGACAUGAACCAGACACCUCCAGAAUUCUAUCCCAAGCAAAAGAUUAUUUCAAGGCCAGAACUCACUCCCUGCUGGAGACUGACUACAAGAUCCACUGAGAUUGAUGUGUAACCUGAUUGGGCCCACAGUGAUGCUAGCCCCUUCACCAGAUGGAACAAUAAUUCCAGACAAGCCAUCAGAGCAGGUCACACCACUUGACACCUUCUCGCCCCCUUGCCUCUCCUGCAUUCCAAACCCCUCUCUUUAAAAUCCCCAUGUUCCCUCCGUAAACUGGGCAGUGCCAAUUGUUGGAAAGAAUUCUGGCACUCUUUUCCUUCUUAGCAUGGAUAAAAAGAUUCACCCUCUUUUUAUCA